GCCCGGGUCCUGCGUGCGCCGCGGGCGGCCGGCAUGGCGGGGCCGGCGUGGGGGCCGCCGCGCCUGCACGGCUUCAUCCUCACCGAGCGCCUGGGCAGCGGCACGUACGCCACGGUGUACAAGGCCUACGCCAAGAAGGAUACACGCGAGGUAGUAGCCAUAAAGUGUGUGGCCAAGAAAAGUCUGAACAAGGCAUCGGUGGAAAACCUCCUGACCGAGAUCGAGAUCCUGAAGGGCAUUCGACACCCCCACAUCGUGCAGCUGAAGGACUUCCAGUGGGACAGCGACAACAUCUAUCUCAUCAUGGAGUUCUGCGCAGGGGGCGACCUGUCUCGCUUCAUCCAUACCCGCAGGAUUCUGCCUGAGAAGGUGGCUCGUGUCUUCAUGCAGCAAUUGGCCAGUGCCCUGCAGUUUCUGCAUGAACGGAAUAUCUCCCACCUGGAUCUGAAGCCACAGAACAUUCUGCUGAGCUCCUUGGAGAAACCUCACCUGAAACUGGCAGACUUUGGCUUUGCACAGCACAUGUCCCCAUGGGAUGAGAAGCACGUGCUCCGUGGCUCCCCCCUCUACAUGGCCCCCGAGAUGGUGUGUCAGCGACAGUACGAUGCCCGUGUGGACCUCUGGUCCGUGGGGGUCAUCCUGUAUGAAGCCCUCUUUGGGCAGCCCCCGUUUGCCUCCAGGUCCUUCUCAGAGCUGGAGGAGAAGAUCCGCAGCAGCCAGGUCAUUGAGCUCCCCCUGCGGCCCUUGCUGUCCCAAGACUGCCGGGACCUGCUGCAGCGGCUCCUGGAGCGGGACCCCAGCCGUCGCAUCUCUUUCCAGGACUUCUUUGCCCACCCCUGGGUGGACCUGGAGCACAUGCCCAGCGGGGAGAGCCUGGCACAAGCAACCGCCCUGGUGGUGCAGGCUGUGAAGAAGGACCAGGAGGGGGACGCGGCAGCCGCUUUGUCCCUCUACUGCAAGGCUCUGGACUUCUUUGUGCCCGCCCUGCACUAUGAAGUGGAUGCCCAGCGGAAGGAGGCGAUUAAGGCAAAGGUGGGCCAGUAUGUGUCCCGGGCCGAGGAGCUCAAGGCCGUCGUCUCCUCCUCUAAUCGGGCCCUGCUUAGGCAGGGGACCUCUGCGAGAGACCUGCUCAGAGAGAUGGCCCGGGACAAGCCACGCCUCUCAGCUGCCCUGGAGGUGGCUUCGGCUGCCAUGGCCAAGGAGGAGGAAGCUGGCAGGGAGCAGGAGGCCCUGGACCUGUACCAGCGCAGCCUGGGGGAGCUGCUGCUGCUGCUGGCAGCGGAGCCAUCAGGUCGGAGGCGGGAGCUGCUUCAUGCCGAGGUGCAGAGCCUCAUGGCUCGGGCUGAAUACCUGAAGGAGCAGGUCAAGGUGCGGGAGUCUCGCUGGGAAGCAGAGACCAUGGACAGAGAAGGGCUGUCAGAGUCUGUUCGUAGCUCAUGUACCCUGCAGUGACCCCAGAGGACGGCUGGACAGACCAUGAGCCGCCUGGAGUGGAGGGGUGACCAACCCAGGCUGAUGACCCAAAUUAAGUGGCCCUCUGCAACCCUGGGGAGCAGGCUUCCUGAAUAGACAGCUCUGGGACCCCCAUGUCCUGGGUCCCCAGCCUCCCUCAGGAGACCUCAUGGAAACGUUGCCCUUGUGACCAAACGAUAAGAUGUCCAUUCCUGCCUGUAAGUCCCUGCCGGACUCCCCUUGGGCCAGCACCUCAGCAGCAGGCCAGGGACUCAGACCCCAAGGGGGGCACCCAAGGCCUGCCCGUAGCACCUUCUUCCUGCCUGGGCCCUGGGGAUGGCCUGCGUGGGAACUUCCUGGCUGGUUUCCUGGACAAACCCUGCUGCCACAGGGAGCAAAAACAGGCUCAGAGAGGGAAAGGACCUGCUCACAGUCACACAGCAGUGCCGGGCUGGAAUGCAGUUGCUCUGCCUUCUUUCUGUUACAUCUUCCAUCUCCAAGGUGAGGGGGUGUAGGCACAGGUGCCAGAGACAGCCCUGUGGUCUCAGUAAUGCCCCCUGUACAGCAGCGUCCUGCUGGCUACCACGUCCGCCUCAAAGCCCAGACCUAUGUCACAUGGCCCGAAACCCGCCCUCCCCAAGGGCCCUGAGAGGACAGAACUGGAGCAUCUUACGGGUGGAGCCAGAAGGGAUUCUACGAAAGACACGUCCACUCCUGCACUGGGUGUCCCCUCCCUCCCAUGAAGCUGUGGGUGAGGAGUUAAAGGACACCCCUCCAAGGCAGGCUCGAGGGGCUGUGAACUCCAAGACUCCUGGGCGUCAAUAAGAUGUGGGAAGAUGGGCACAGCAUUUGGGAGUUUUAUUUUCCACUGAGCUAGGAGAGGAGAUUCCAGCUAUGGAAUCCAGAAGAGAGCUCUAUAGGAACAGAACAGAAACUGCCUGGGCCCUGGGCCCAGAGAAGGCCUGGAGCCGCCUGGGCUACUGUUCAGUGCCAGCUUCAUCCUUGGCACUCCGCCCUCACAUGGCUUCACUCGGUGCCCACAGUGGCAGCCACUGGAGGGGACGGCUGCAGCUGCUGCCCUGCCUGAGGAGGGCUAUGGGCUUGGCUCUGAGAGGCCAGGGAGGCCAAGCCAGAAAGAGUCUUAGAAAUUAUCCAGUCUAUUCCCAUUUUACAGAUGACGAAAUGAGGCCCAGAAAGAGCAGUGGCUGUCAAGGACAAUAAAGGUGGAAACUUGAACCCAG